GACGUAGGGCGCGAGCGUUGUUCGGAAUUACUGGGCGUAAAGGGCGCGUAGGCGGCCAUCUAAGUCAGACGUGAAAUCCCCCGGCUUAACCUGGGAACUGCGUCUGAUACUGGACGGCUUGAGUAUGGGAGAGGGAUGUAGAAUUCCAGGUGUAGCGGUGAAAUGCGUAGAUAUCUGGAGGAAUACCGGUGGCGAAGGCGGCAUCCUGGACCAUUACUGACGCUGAGGCGCGAAAGCUAGGGGAGCAAACGGG
rnacentral:rRNA from 1 species